AUCUAAGAGAUUAGACGUUCCCUUCGGGGACAUGGAUACAGGUGGUGCAUGGUUGUCGUCAGCUCGUGUCGUGAGAUGUUGGGUUAAGUCCCGCAACGAGCGCAACCCUUAUUAUCAGUUGCCAGCAUUAAGUUGGGCACUCUGGUGAGACUGCCGGUGACAAACCGGAGGAAGGUGGGGAUGACGUCAAAUCAUCAUGCCCCUUAUGACCUGGGCUACACACGUGCUACAAUGGAUGGUACAACGAGUUGCGAACUCGCGAGAGUAAGCUAAUCUCUUAAAGCCAUUCUCAGUUCGGAUUGUAGUCUGCAACUCGACUACAUGAAGUCGGAAUCGCUAGUAAUCGCGGAUCAGCACGCCGCGGUGAAUACGUUCCCGGGUCUUGUACACACCGA
rnacentral:rRNA from 1 species